CUGUCAUGGGUUGGCCCUGGCACAGUGCCAGUGCCCACAUGAAAGGUGUAUUUCCAAAAUGGUUACUCUGAGAUGUGAUCCGGAAACAGAACAAAGCAGGCUCCCACUUGGGGAUGGAGGGAAAAACACAACACUUUAAUAAUCUACAACACAGAAACAUAAGGAAAAAGAAAAAAAACCACACACAACAAUCCCACAACAAUCCACAACGGAACACUUCCUAAACACUCCUCCUCCCCCCAGUCCUCUCACAUCCAAAUCCCCUCUAACACAUCACUUCUCAGUCCAAUACCCUCCUUCACACAAGCUCCCCCCAGUUCAUCAGGAGAGAGGAGUCUCCCUCUUGCACCAUGGGCCUCCCCAGGAAACACAGUGGAACCUCCUGUCCUUCUGUGUCACACAUGGCAGCCGUCCGAAGAAAAUCUGCCAUGGUAACCAUCUUCCUUCCAUGUCCGUUGCUCUCACCACAGUCCAUGGAUUCAAACUGCUCCUUAGGCCCUUUUAAGAAUGCUUUAUCGCCCUGUUCCAAGAAGUGGCCUUCUCUCACUAUUUGGGACAUCUGUCCCCCCAUAUUUUUACUCCCCUGGGGCCUGCAUCUCAGGAACAGAGAUCCCAUGCUGAAGUCAGAGGGCUCCACCACACCCUACCCCUCAGUCUCUGUUCCCUCUAACUCUCCUCGAAGCCUUAUCAUUCUUGGCUUCCAGCCAACCACCUCCCCCAAAGUGCCGUCUCUGCAUUAUCAGAAGAAAUUGGUUUCGCCUGUGGCUAGGGCCCUUUGCAGAAGACAGUAAACCCAGUAUAAUCAU